rnacentral:misc_RNA from 1 species
GGAAGAAGUAGUUAGUGCAAUUAGCAUCAUCCUUGGCUCUGUUCCAAAUAAAGAGCUAAAGGACAACUUGUUGGCUAGAUUGCUUUCUUCUAGCUAUGAUGCUGUAGGAAAACUUAUUGAAGAAGAUAAUGAUCAUUCUUUUAGACAAAAUCCUGCUACUUACACACAAAUUUUGAGUUCUGCAGCAAGAGGGCUGUACAGGAUAGGAACUGUAUUUAGUCAUCUUGCUACACCUCUGCCAAGCGUGCCUGGUGAAGAUGAUCCUAUAUUUGGAUUGCUAAGGGUUUUUUGGCCCAUUUUAGAGAAACUAUUUAGGUCUGAACAUAUGGAGAGUAGCAAUUUAUCUACUGCAGCUUGCCGGGC